rnacentral:rRNA from 1 species
UACAGAGGGUGCGAGCGUUAAUCGGAAUUACUGGGCGUAAAGCGCGUGUAGGCGGUUCGUAAAGUCGGAUGUGAAAGCCCUGGGCUUAACCCAGGAAGUGCAUUCGAAACUCACGAACUUGAGUCCCGGAGAGGAAGGCGGAAUUCUCGGUGUAGAGGUGAAAUUCGUAGAUAUCGAGAGGAACAUCUGUGGCGAAGGCGGCCUUCUGGACGGUGACUGACGCUGAGACGCGAAAGCGUGGGGAGCAAACAGG